GAUGAACGCUGGCGGCGUGCCUAAUACAUGCAAGUCGAGCGAACAGACGAGGAGCUUGCUCCUCUGACGUUAGCGGCGGACGGGUGAGUAACACGUGGAUAACCUACCUAUAAGACUGGGAUAACUUCGGGAAACCGGAGCUAAUACCGGAUAAUAUAUUGAACCGCAUGGUUCAAUAGUGAAAGACGGUUUUGCUGUCACUUAUAGAUGGAUCCGCGCCGCAUUAGCUAGUUGGUAAGGUAACGGCUUACCAAGGCAACGAUGCGUAGCCGACCUGAGAGGGUGAGCGGCCAAACUGGAAGUGAGACACGGUCCAGACUCCUACGGGAGGCAGCAGUAGGGAAUCUUACGAAAUGGGCGAAAGCCUGACGGAGCAACGCCGCGUGAGUGAUGAAGGUCUUCGGAUCGUAAAACUCUGUUAUUAGGGAAGAACAAAUGUGUAAGUAACUAUGCACGUCUUGACGGUACCUAAUCAGAAAGCCACGGCUAACUACGUG
rnacentral:rRNA from 1 species